rnacentral:rRNA from 1 species
GUCCACGCCGUAAACGAUGUCAACUAGGUGUUGGGCGGUUAAUCGUCUCAUUGCCGGAGCUAACGCAUUAAGUUGACCGCCUGGGGAGUACGGUCGCAAGAUUAAACUCAAAGGAAUUGACGGGGCCCGCACAAGCGGUGGAGUAUGUGGUUUAAUUCGACGCAACACGCAGAACCUUACCUGGUCUUGACAUCCCGAGAAUCCUGUGGAAACACGGGAGUGCCUCUUUGAGGAGCUCGGUGACAGGUGCUGCAUGGCUGUCGU